GGGGGUAUGGCGAAAUUGGUAGACGCUGCGGACUUAAAAUCCGUUGGCUUUAUAGACCGUGAGGGUUCGAGUCCCUCUACCCCCA
rnacentral:tRNA from 1 species